CAAUAGCGUAUAUUAAAGUUGUUGCGGUAAAAAAGCUCGUAGUUGGAUUUCUACCGAAGAUAGCCGGUCGGGUCUUCGACCUUGUAUCUGGUUUUGUCUUUGGUAUCCUCAUAGGGAACGUUUCUGCGCUUUAUUGCGUGGUGCGGUAUCUAUGACUUUUACUUUGAGGAAAUUAGAGUGUUCACGGCAGGCAAACGCCUUGAAUAUAUUAGCAUGGAAUAAUAACAUAGGAUCUUCGUCCUAUUUUGUUGGUUUCUAGGGCUAAGAUAAUGAUUAAUAGGGAUAAUUGGGGGCAUCUGUAUCAGCGCGUCAGAGGUGGAAUUCUUGGAUUGCGUUGCGACAAACUACUGCGAAAGCAUUUGCCAAGGAUGUUUUCAUUGA
rnacentral:rRNA from 1 species